GAGUUUGAUCAUGGCUCAGGACGAACGCUGGCGGCGUGCCUAAUACAUGCAAGUAGAACGCUGAAGAGAGGAGCUUGCUCUUCUUGGAUGAGUUGCGAACGGGUGAGUAACGCGUAGGUAACCUGCCUUGUAGCGGGGGAUAACUAUUGGAAACGAUAGCUAAUACCGCAUAACAAUGGAUGACACAUGUCAUUUAUUUGAAAGGGGCAAUUGCUCCACUACAAGAUGGACCUGCGUUGUAUUAGCUAGUAGGUGAGGUAACGGCUCACCUAGGCGACGAUACAUAGCCGACCUGAGAGGGUGAUCGGCCACACUGGGACUGAGACACGGCCCAGACUCCUACGGGAGGCAGCAGUAGGGAAUCUUCGGCAAUGGGGGCAACCCUGACCGAGCAACGCCGCGUGAGUGAAGAAGGUUUUCGGAUCGUAAAGCUCUGUUGUAAGUCAAGAACGAGUGUGAGAGUGGAAAGUUCACACUGUGACGGUAGCUUACCAGAAAGGGACGGCUAACUACGUGCCAGCAGCCGCGGUAAUACGUAGGUCCCGAGCGUUGUCCGGAUUUAUUGGGCGUAAAGCGAGCGCAGGCGGUUUGAUAAGUCUGAAGUUAAAGGCUGUGGCUCAACCAUAGUUCGCUUUGGAAACUGUCAAACUUGAGUGCAGAAGGGGAGAGUGGAAUUCCAUGUGUAGCGGUGAAAUGCGUAGAUAUAUGGAGGAACACCGGUGGCGAAAGCGGCUCUCUGGUCUGUAACUGACGCUGAGGCUCGAAAGCGUGGGGAGCGAACAGGAUUAGAUACCCUGGUAGUCCACGCCGUAAACGAUGAGUGCUAGGUGUUGGAUCCUUUCCGGGAUUCAGUGCCGCAGCUAACGCAUUAAGCACUCCGCCUGGGGAGUACGACCGCAAGGUUGAAACUCAAAGGAAUUGACGGGGGCCCGCACAAGCGGUGGAGCAUGUGGUUUAAUUCGAAGCAACGCGAAGAACCUUACCAGGUCUUGACAUCCCGAUGCUAUUUCUAGAGAUAGAAAGUUACUUCGGUACAUCGGUGACAGGUGGUGCAUGGUUGUCGUCAGCUCGUGUCGUGAGAUGUUGGGUUAAGUCCCGCAACGAGCGCAACCCCUAUUGUUAGUUGCCAUCAUUCAGUUGGGCACUCUAGCGAGACUGCCGGUAAUAAACCGGAGGAAGGUGGGGAUGACGUCAAAUCAUCAUGCCCCUUAUGACCUGGGCUACACACGUGCUACAAUGGUUGGUACAACGAGUUGCGAGUCGGUGACGGCAAGCUAAUCUCUUAAAGCCAAUCUCAGUUCGGAUUGUAGGCUGCAACUCGCCUACAUGAAGUCGGAAUCGCUAGUAAUCGCGGAUCAGCACGCCGCGGUGAAUACGUUCCCGGGCCUUGUACACACCGCCCGUC
rnacentral:rRNA from 1 species